CGUACACACUUGCUCUUCUAGCUCUUUGAAUUUGAAAGCUGUAUAAAAGCUCCUCUAGGGUCACCAAUCUGUUUUUCAGAUGCUGGUGGUUGUAAACUUGAUUGGCAUUGGCUGCGCCCACUGACCCCUGAGCCGAGUCCACUGAAGAUUUAAGGUGGAUCCGUGAAGCUGCAGCUUCAGGCGGAGUCUGGAGCUUAGG
rnacentral:lncRNA from 1 species